GUUAAAUCAUUUUAAUGCUUUAGAAAUAAUUAUUUCUUCAUGUUUCUUGUACUUGCAGAAUGCUUCCUCAGCUUCCACUGGGGGGCGCUCUGGCCACAUAUGCCUCAUUAAAUUCAAAAUCCCUGUUCCGGCACACUCAGUUCUCAUGGCUGGUUUGGGAUCUAAUGGAUGACGUAAUUGCUUGGCGGUGGGGGCCAGUUACUGCCCUGCUUUCCCUUACAUCACUAACACUCUAUAUAAAUGGCCUUCUGUGCUGACUAGGAUGCUGGCUACCUGCAUGGAAAGACUUUGUUUGAUGUGUGCUACCACAAUGGUGUGUAAAACCAACAUCAUGAUGAUGUUUAAGUAACUCGUCCUUGUGAACUGUUCAUGGAAUGAAGUGACUCAUAAGUGUGAUUUGUUUCAGGAAUAGGCCUAUGUUUUUCAUUCAUUAAAAAGAACUGGCUUAUCCACCUUAUUUUGCAAUGUGGACAUAAGCUAUUUCCUGCCAAUGUGCAAGACUUCUGAUUCAUUUGCUGCUCUAUAGAUAAAUAACUAAGAAUAACAAAGUGUAGUAAAUGGUAAAACUAUUUGCGCUACAAACCAGUGUGUUUACAUAUAUAUAAAAGUAUUGGUAUAAAAAGUAUUAUACAUCCAAACUGUCAAAUGUUUCUCUUUGGAGAAUGUGAAACACUGUUGGUAAUAUAAUCCUGUAUUGACAGUAUUGUACUUAUACUGGCACACUAACUUUGAACACACCAUGAAAUUGCAAUUAAACAGCAAUGAACAGUUUGAGAAGUGUAAUUUUACAUGAUAUUUAGAUUAUGAAGCCCCACACAGUGUCAAUUAUGUGUCUCUAUAUUGCUGUUCAGCAUAUAUGCUACUAA
ensembl:lncRNA